UUUCCGAUGCCAUCAGUCAGGAGAGGACUCAUGAGUUUGUUAUCACAGUCCUCCAGAGGGGUCCAGGGGAGCCUGGGCAUAUCGAUAUGGAUCAGGAGGGAUUUACAAAUGGAGAGAAGGAAACGAUGGCAGCUGCCACAGCUAAACACAGACCUCCCUUGCGGCCAGUUCCCCCUUUUUGGCAUGUCGAGCGUCGUCCUGUAUGUAUCCCUGGUCCUAGAGAUCACGGGUGAUCAUUCUAAUGCGCCCGGAGCCCACUGUCAGAAACCUAAUACUGGUGUUUAUUUGUGCUGCAACAGCUGGGACCAACCACAGAGGGGGGGAGAAAAUAUAGACACUGAUAGAAGAGCUGGCUCUGUGCUUGGAAGUGCACUGGAGCCCUUGGAGUUGUGGUUGAGAGAGGGAUGUUGUGGACAACACCUCACAUUCACCACCAUGGAUGUCAGACAACAGAGUGUUUUUAGCUGGAUGCUGUUUCAACUUCGCUGUGACAAGGACCGUUAUAGAAAGUAAUUCCCUCUCUCUACAGUCUAACAGUUUACAAUGACUCCCCUAUGUGCAGGGAUAGGAUAAUGAUAUUCUGAGAGACAAUGCUCAGUUUACAUGCAAUUGCACAGAGACUUAACAUUCUAAAUGCUAUUUAUUUUUGACUGCUGAUUGCUGAUUACUUUAUAUAACACCAUCAUUUUCCUUUGGGGAUGAAUAAAGUAGUCUAUCUAUCUA